rnacentral:lncRNA from 1 species
CUCCGCGCUUGCCCUCGACUCCCAGCUCCCUCCUCAGCGAGGGUAGCGCGGGAGGUCAAACAGCUUUUCAUUCACAGGAACAGGCAGCUCUCCCCAAAGAACCAGAUGAGCCAUGCCAUUCUAUCCUGCCUGAAGAUUGGGUCCAUAUAAAAGUCCAUCAACGAAAGUCAUUGCUGGAACCUUGCUGGAAAGGCCCAUUCCAGGAACUCCUGACCACCAACACUGCAAUAAAGUGUCGAUUCCAAACAUGGAUCCAUACUUCACACAGUAAGAAAACAUCAGCCCCGUUAGACCCAGAGUCUUCUCCAUAUCAAUCUUGUAAUCAGUCUCCACAAACCGGUAGUGAGCCUAGUGCUUGCCAGCAGGAGAGCUCAAGACCAGUAGUAAGCCAAGCGCCUACUGGCAAAGAGGAUUUGCCACUACAGAGCGAAAAGGAUGUGCCCCAACAAUACCACCAUGCUCUUUGGGACAGGAAAAAGGCCUCUACCUAGUUCCUGACGUGGAGUUGGUUAGUUGUGAUUUGGGUAGUUCUCAGUAUUUCUUUUUGGGCUAUCUUAUAUGAACUGACUCAUCAGUUAUAAGAAACUCUGUAAACCAAACUAUACUCCCACACCAACAAA